ensembl:lncRNA LINC02981 long intergenic non-protein coding RNA 2981
AUGUUGGACAGGGCGCGUCUGCGCCUCCGGCCGCCGCGGCUCCCGGGGCCUCCGCCUGCAGCCGGCGGCGGAACGAGGGCAGGCGGCUGAGACAGGCGAGCUAUUUGCAUUCCCCGGCAGUCAUUUUUAUAUGCGGAGGUAAUGAAGUUGUCAGCGGCGCCCCGAGUGUGGCAGAGCCUGAUAUUCAAAUCGCCCUGCCCGCUCCGCCUGCUCCCGCCCGCUGGUCCCGGGAGCCCCAGGCUGCGCGCGCCCGCACCGCAUCGCCGCUUUGCCCCGCGACCGCGCGCGCCUCCUCGUCCUCCCCCGCGCCUUUGUUUCCGUCUCCUUCUCCUUUCCCUCCUCUUUUGUGUCGGGCCAGACUCAGCCCCAGAAACCAGCCACCCUGCCGCGUCCGACUGCCAGGGAUCCCUCACGCCGCGAGGGUCACUGUGAACACCAGACAGUCCAGGAAAUCCAAGAAGGCAGCUAACCAAAGGGACUUCAGCAUCUGGAAGACUGGACUGAGGCGGGGGUGUACUUGACAGGGGUGGCUACUGACCACACACCUCCUUGAAAGGUGUCGUGGCUCAUUACCAG